UACGUAGGGAGCAAGCGUUGUUCGGAUUUACUGGGCGUAAAGGGCGCGUAGGCGGCGUGUCAAGUCGAUUGUGAAAUCUCCGGGCUUAACUCGGAACGGCCAAUCGAUACUGACGUGCUAGAGUGCAGAAAGGGCAAUCGGAAUUCUUGGUGUAGCGGUGAAAUGCGUAGAUAUCAAGAGGAACACCUGAGGCGAAGGCGGGUUGCUAGGCUGACACUGAACCGCGACAGCAUGGGGAGCAAACAGG
rnacentral:rRNA from 1 species